rnacentral:rRNA from 1 species
UACGGAGGAUGCAAGCGUUAUCCGGAAUGAUUGGGCGUAAAGCGUCCGCAGGUGGCGAUGUAAGUCUGCUGUUAAAGAGUGAGGCUCAACCUCAUAAGAGCAGUGGAAACUACAUAGCUAGAGUACGUUCGGGGCAGAGGGAAUUCCUGGUGUAGCGGUGAAAUGCGUAGAGAUCAGGAAGAACACCAGUGGCGAAGGCGCUCUGCUAGGCCGUAACUGACACUGAAGGACGAAAGCUAGGGGAGCGAAUGGG